AGGACGGACGCUGGCGGCGUGCUUAACACAUGCAAGUCGAACGGUAAGGCCCCUUCGGGGGGUACACGAGUGGCGAACGGGUGAGUAACACGUGAGUAACCUACCCUUGACUCUGGGAUAACAUCUGGAAACAGGUGCUAAUACCGGAUAUUCAACCCUUGACUCAUGUUUUGGGUGGAAAGCUCCGGCGGUCAUGGAUGGACUCGCGGCCUAUCAGCUUUGUUGGUGAGGGUAAUGGCUCACCAAGGCUUCGACGGGU
rnacentral:rRNA from 1 species